UAGCUAUGAUGUGGGCAAGUAGGAAGUAAUUCCUUAAACCGUUCUCAACAAUCAAAGAAAGUUUCAUCUCCUUUUUGGGAGAAGUUUAUUAUGUCCUGUUUCAAAGUGU